rnacentral:rRNA from 1 species
AUGGACUAUUAUCAUAAAAUUGCAAAUGGCCGUAAGAGGAAGAACACAAUUCACUCCCUUAAAGCUGGGGAUGUGGAGAUCGAGGGCGCCGACAAUCUGAUUGCUCAUGCCACAGAGUAUUACAAAACUAUGUUCGGACCUGAGUCCGGUAAUCUGUUCCAUCUUGACCCCGACACAUGGUCUGAUGAGGAAAAGCUCAAUGCUAAUGAUAAUGCAGAUUUGUGCCGUGAUUUCACGGAGGAAGAGGUCAAGGAGGCGUUGUUCUCUAUGGCACAUAAUAGAGCCCCUGACCCUGACAAUAUUCCUGUUGAAUUCUAUCAUGUGUGCUAG